rnacentral:lncRNA from 1 species
CAGAGGAGUUAUGGAUAAAUAACAGCAGCAGCCAAUGAAGCAUCUGUAUUUGGCUGACCAUGCUAAUGGACAAAAAGGAGAAUUUUCUUCUUAAUUCUUCAUUAACAUAAACAAUUUGUGUGUUUCUUUGCUGAUUACAGAUAACUCAGGGCAGAAAACUGUGACAAGAAGGACUGAGUUGAGGGGAUGAAAUUGCUCAGAUGCCUGAGGCGACAGACUGAGUUGACUAGAAUCAUCAUGAUUAUUCAAAUGAGAAUUAUCCAAAUGACCCAGAUUUCUUCCCUGCUGCAUCAUGACAAAUUGCUAGACAAUGACACCUCUACUGUCUGCAUUUCUGUGGGCAGACACAUUUGGAUACCCAUACAGGUAUUCCACAUCAUAACAUCGUAUAGUGCACUGGGAGUUAAAGUGUUAAUGCUCCAGUUCCGGGCAUCUGUCCGGAAGAGAAGAACUACAUCCUCUAGGCGGCUUUGUGGUUGGAGAGGAGAUAUAACCUCUGGCAAAGUCACCUGAUGUCCAUCUUCUUCCCUUGGCUCUCAUCCCGACCACAUGCAUCACCUCAGCACUACUGUAAGGCCUACAGCUCUCAGACACUCUUUCUCUCAUUAUAUUUCAUUUAUUAGUUUCAAUUCUAAUUAUAUUGUAUUAUAGUGUGUUAUCUUGCAUUCUGAUACUGUAUUUAGUAAAUCAGCUUGUUUAUCCUCAGAUCGUCGCCGGUGUUUUUAAUUAUUUUGGGGUCCCCGUUUCCCUUUUCCGGAGGCACAGAUUUUGCGAAAUCCCUCUGCCUCACUGGUCACAGAACCAGGCUGAACCAGCCUGUAAACAGUUGACAUUCUAUUUAUCAGAAAUUCAG